rnacentral:rRNA from 1 species
AUGAACGCUAGCUACAGGCUUAACACAUGCAAGUCGAGGGGCAGCAUUUUAGUUUGCUUGCAAACUGAAGAUGGCGACCGGCGCACGGGUGAGUAACACGUAUCCAACCUGCCGAUAACUCCGGGAUAGCCUUUCGAAAGAAAGAUUAAUACCGGAUAGCAUACGAAUAUCGCAUGAUAUUUUUAUUAAAGAAUUUCGGUUAUCGAUGGGGAUGCGUUCCAUUAGUUUGUUGGCGGGGUAACGGCCCACCAAGACUACGAUGGAUAGGGGUUCUGAGAGGAAGGUCCCCCACAUUGGAACUGAGACACGGUCCAAACUCCUACGGGAGGCAGCAGUGAGGAAUAUUGGUCAAUGGGCGCGAGCCUGAACCAGCCAAGUAGCGUGAAGGAUGAAGGCUCUAUGGGUCGUAAACUUCUUUUAUAUGGGAAUAAAGUUUUCCACGUGUGGAAUUUUGUAUGUACCAUAUGAAUAAGGAUCGGCUAACUCCGUGCCAGCAGCCGCGGUAAUACGGAGGAUCCGAGCGUUAUCCGGAUUUAUUGGGUUUAAAGGGAGCGUAGGUGGAUUGUUAAGUCAGUUGUGAAAGUUUGCGGCUCAACCGUAAAAUUGCAGUUGAAACUGGCAGUCUUGAGUACAGUAGAGGUGGGCGGAAUUCGUGGUGUAGCGGUGAAAUGCUUAGAUAUCACGAAGAACUCCGAUUGCGAAGGCAGCUCACUAGACUGUCACUGACACUGAUGCUCGAAAGUGUGGGUAUCAAACAGGAUUAGAUACCCUGGUAGUCCACACAGUAAACGAUGAAUACUCGCUGUUUGCGAUAUACAGUAAGCGGCCAAGCGAAAGCAUUAAGUAUUCCACCUGGGGAGUACGCCGGCAACGGUGAAACUCAAAGGAAUUGACGGGGGCCCGCACAAGCGGAGGAACAUGUGGUUUAAUUCGAUGAUACGCGAGGAACCUUACCCGGGCUUAAAUUGCAACAGAAUAUAUUGGAAACAGUAUAGCCGUAAGGCUGUUGUGAAGGUGCUGCAUGGUUGUCGUCAGCUCGUGCCGUGAGGUGUCGGCUUAAGUGCCAUAACGAGCGCAACCCUUAUCUUUAGUUACUAACAGGUCAUGCUGAGGACUCUAGAGAGACUGCCGUCGUAAGAUGUGAGGAAGGUGGGGAUGACGUCAAAUCAGCACGGCCCUUACGUCCGGGGCUACACACGUGUUACAAUGGGGGGUACAGAAGGCGGCUACCUGGGGACAGGAUGCUAAUCCCAAAAACCUCUCUCAGUUCGGAUCGAAGUCUGCAACCCGACUUCGUGAAGCUGGAUUCGCUAGUAAUCGCGCAUCAGCCAUGGCGCGGUGAAUACGUUCCCGGGCCUUGUACACACCGCCCGUCAAGCCAUGAAAGCCGGGGGUACCUGAAGUACGUAACCGCAAGGAGCGUCCUAGGGUAAAACUGGUAAUUGGGGCU